UCUUAAUUACAGUUUGUGGUUCCUGGUCAUCUGAUCAGGGAGUUUCACAUCCUUGUGUACAGGCAAACUGCAGAGACAGAGCUAAACAGGGCAGAGUUUCUGAGGCAGGAGACCAUGGAGGGGAAAAUCUUCGAGAGAUGGGGAUUAUCUUCUCCAUGAUGCCCCAAAACCUGGGUGUGGAAGAGACCUGAGAUUUCAGCAAUUUCAAGAAAUCCCAAAGCACAGGUAUUGAAUAUUCGUCACCGUCGUUCGCUUUUCAGAUCGCAGACCCCCCUUCCUGGAGUCUAAAGACUCAGAGCCGGCGCAUCAGGAAAUCGCAGACGCUCCUUCCAGGCGUCUAAAGACCCAAAGCCGGCGCAUCAGGAAAUCGCAGACGCUCCUUCCAGGCGUCUAAAGACUCAAAACCGGCGCAUCAGGAAAUCGCAGAUGCUCCUUCCAGGAGCCUAAAACCGAAAUCCGGUGCAUCAGGAAAUCGCAGAUGCUCUUUCCAGGCGUAUAAAGGACUCAAAGCCGGAGCAUCAGGAAAUCGCAGACGCUCCUUCCAGGCGUCUAAAGACCCAAAUCCGGCACAUCAGGAAAUCGCAGACGCUCCUUCCAAGAGUCUAAAGACCGAAAUCCGGCACAUCAGGAAAUCGCAGACGCUCCUUCCAGGUGCAUAAAGGACUCAAAGCCGGCGCAUCAGGAAAUCGCAGACACUCCUUCCAGGAGUCUAAAGACCCAAAGCCGGCACAUCGGGAAAUCGCAGACGCUGCGUCCAGGAGUCUAAAGACCCAAAGCCGGCGCAUCGGGAAAUCGCAGACGCUCCUUCCAGGCGUCUAAAGACUCAAAGCCGGCGCAUCGGGAAAUCGCAGACGCUCCUUCCAGGAGUCUUAAAGACCCAAAGCCGGCACAUCGGGAAAUCGCAGACGCUCCGUCCAGGAGUCUAAAGACCCAAAGCCGGCGCAUCGGGAAAUCGCAGACGCUCCUUCCAGGCGUCUAAAGACUCAAAGCCGGCGCAUCGGGAAAUCGCAGACGCUCCUUCCAGGCGUCUAAAGACCGAAAUCCGGCGCAUCGGGAAAUCGC